rnacentral:lncRNA from 1 species
CAAAUUUCUGUUUGUGCCAGUGGGGCGGCCUGGCGAAACCACAAUUGCUCUACCCCACAGAUUGACGAGCCCUCAGAUGCCGAUUUACUGUACAUGGCAGCCACACUGGAGCCGAGGCACAUCUGGAGUGGAUGUUGAAAAGACAAUUAAGUUUGGACUUUUUCUACAUGAAGAAAGCAUCGCCAAUGCCAAGCACAUCAGGAACGGAACUUGACUCUUCUGGAGUUCAGAAUUAUGUUAACAGCAAUGAGAGUGACAACGAUACACCAGAUUCCAAUUCACACACUCAUACAGAGUGA